rnacentral:rRNA from 1 species
GUCUAUGGUCAUGCCACCCUGAACGUGACAGAUCUCUUCUGAUCUCAGAAGCUAAGCAGAGUCGGGCCUGAUUAGUACUUGAAUGGGAGACCACCUAGGAAUACCAGGUUCUAUAGGUG